rnacentral:lncRNA from 1 species
AAGGGCCAAGUGAGCUUUUCCCAUCACUUUGCGUCCGUCGUCCGUCGUCGUCGUCCUGCGUUAACUUUUACAAAAAUCUUCUCCUCUGAAACUACUGGGCCAAAUUAAACCAAACUAGGCCACAAUCAUCAUUGGGGUAUCUAGUUUAAAAAAUGUGUCCGGUGAUCCCGCCAACCAACCAAGAUGGCGGCCAUGGCUAAAAAUAGAACAUAGGGGUAAAAUGCAGUUUUUGGCUUAUAACUCAAAAACCAAAGCAUUUAGAGCAAAUCUGACAAGGUAAAAUUGUUUAUCAGGUCAAGAUCUAUCUGCCCUGGAAUUUUCAGAUGAAUCGGAC